rnacentral:lncRNA from 1 species
UGCAUUCAUCUUGUUAUACUUUCUCUGCAUUAUAAAAAUAUAAAAAGUAUUUGAGAGAAAGCCUAUUGAAACUUGUCUUAAAAGAAUCAAGAAUAAUCUCAAGAUCUCUGGACAAUUAAGGCUUAAGUGGCCAACCACUAACGCUUAAUAUAUUCCACAAGUUUUGUUGUCUAUUUGAGUUUUACGGGAUUUGAAAAACCAAGAAGAGCCGACAAGCAAGUGGAUGUUCUAUCCACUAGUGGAGCACUAUCUCAACGUUGAACAACAAUCUAAUGCUCCACUAGAGGAAGUACAUCUAGUUGUCAGUCUACUACUUCACAAGAUCGAAUGACUACGUCAACAUUUAGCUUGGGGGAAGGCACUCCCUUGUAUCCAUGUAAGUAUCCUUACCAUCUUAAAGUUUUUUUAUAAAUAAAUUCAAAAAUAAAUAAAAAAUAGUGGGCACAUGAAGGUUCACACUUAUCCUAUCGAGUAUUUGUUCUAUAUUAUGUUAUUUCAUAAUAGUGUGUGCUAGUAUGAAAGUUUGCUUCUCUGUUUAAAUAAAAUGAUCACUAGAGAUAAUAUCUAUGCAUGGAAAUGAUAAAUAGUUGCUCUGACAUAAUUUCUUUCAAGUAUCUAGUUUUCAACCUCAAACUCUCCUGAGUUUUGGACACAGCUGUUUUGAUCUAAGAUUGGCUCUAAACCUGAAACUUGUGGGUUGUGAAUGCUUGAUCUUAGUCUAGGUGAUUGACAGAUAUGAUAUGAGAAGGUCAGAGCUAUUGUUUAUCUUGUUCCUAGUGAUACUGUGAGUUCUAGAAAUUUAUCUUUUGAAAAACUUAAAGUUGCCACAUGAUGACUUCCUGUAGAAUGAGAGCUUUAAUUCAUACCAUAACCAUAUAUACAUGCUUGCUACACUAGGAAAAUCAGCUAAUAAGUUUCUUGCUUUGUGUUGAGUUUGUUCAACCCAUGUGAGACCCUUGUCGAGAGGAUGGUCAUGCCCCCAAGAUCAAGAUCACUUACACCCACAUAUAUUCUACUGCUCCUACCCUUGGAGUACGUAAAAACAUGUCUUUCCACCCCAAAAUCUAUCUCGUACACUAGGAGAAGAUCCAAAAAGAUUGUUAGGUUUCCAAAUAAAUGCUCCAAGAUUGUGAUUUAUCUGUUCACCAAGUUCAUUGUAUCCUAAGUAAGAGGCAAGAGAUCCUUUGUCAAAAAGAGAGAAAAAUAAAAAAAGAAAGAAAAAAGAGAGAAGUCUAUGAUCUCUAUACCUAGAAGUUCAUCAUUGUCACCAAAGAAAGGAGGAAGAAGAUAUCCCAAGACCUCCACAACAAAGUUCUUCAUAAAUUCUUCAGUUGGAGGCAGUCUCUCCAUGAGCAGAAUAGAAUUAGGUUAGCCACCAAAUAUUAUCUAAGGGUAUGAUCUCCCCUCUGAGGAUCUUGCUUUUCACUAAACAACACAUUCAAGGUAAGUAUGCUACAACCUUGAAUUAUCCUUAGCUUCAUAUAAGCCUAUUAUUUAUAGGGAGAUAGAGAAGAGGCAUGAUGCUACUCUGCCUUAUUCCAAAAAUACCACAUAUUCUAAGUGAAAGAGAGAAGGCAAAACACCAUCAUUGCCUUAUUGAGAAUCCAGAAAUACAAUAUAUGAGAGAUCAGGAAGGGUCAUACAAAAGGAACAUCUGCGUUUUAUUUCAAAAAUCUACAAAACUCUAGAAUGAAGGUUGAUCAAAGAACUUGAGACGUAGUGCUUCACUUGAUUGUUCUAUCUUCCAACUACUCAAGACCUAAGUGAAGGCCAAAAGCUCCAUAGUUGAAGGUAAUGGGUAACUUUGAAGUUAUAAUAGUUUUCUAUAAUCUAGAGGAGAAUUCUUUUUUGAACACAUGUGUACUUUUGAGGCGUGAAAGCAUUGUAGCAACUCCUCAUCCAUUGUUG